CGAGCUUAUCCUAUGUUCUAUGAUGAAAUAAAUUUUUGGAUGAUUCCUAACUUUAUUUUGAGCGUCAGGAAUUUUUUUAAAAUUAAAAUUCCUUCUGGUUUAAUCAUGGAAAUUCAUUGAAGUUAGAAAUCCUGUCAGCCUGAUCCAUGCGCCUGACCAAGAGUCCAACUUGUGAAGGACUCUAACCCAUUUGUCAAGCCACUUUUUAAUCUGAAUUUUUUUUCAUGACAUUCUCAUGUUAGCACCUU
rnacentral:lncRNA from 1 species